rnacentral:piRNA from 1 species
UAGAACAAAGUCCACGCCUCAGGUCC